rnacentral:lncRNA from 1 species
AAAAAGAAAAACCAGUCGUCGGAGAAAAUAGCGGACCUCCGCCGCACCAGAGCCACUUCCGACCACCAAAAAAUGUAAGAAUUCUCCUACCCACUCAUAAUUUGAUUUUGAGCACAUCCACAGUCAAAUCGAAGCAAAAGGGAUGAUAGUUGAGCUGGAAUCCGCAGGUGAAGCUCGGCGGCGCCGCUGCGGGCAAAACCCGAAACUUCUUCCGAUGAGCCCCUUCCCCAGUCCCGUUUGACAUGAUUUUUUCACUGUUGUGUUCAUCGUUCUGUUUUUUACAGGUUAACCGAAGAAAAAUUCCCAGUUGCGAAGGUGAGUCGGCGAAGCCGCCACACCCGAAAAACUCCACUACCGGUAAGUUUCUAUUUUUUUUAUUUUUUUGGAGCAACCAAAGCCCCCUAACAUAUUUUUUCGUAGAGAUAUGUAUAAAGCCGACUGAAAUUGGCCAAAACUAGUCGAAAAUGGCCAGGCCGAGGCAAACUACCGCCGCAGACGGUGGUGCCGUCGUCGGAGUCCGGCAAUACCGUCGCGCAGGAACCACAACAUUGGCCA